rnacentral:rRNA from 1 species
GCGGUAUUUUAGUCUAUUCAGAGGAAUCUGUCCUGUAAUUGAUAAUCCACAAAUGGAUUUACUUAUUUUAAUAGUUUGUAUAUCGCCGUAGUUUGAAUAUUUUUUUAGAAUUCAUAAUAUUCAAGAUUUUAAAUUAAAAAUUAAAUCAGGUCAAGGUGCAGUUUAUAAAUAAGAAGAGAUGGAUUACAAUAAUAUUAUUUAUAUGAAUUUAUUAAUUAAAUUUAAUAAUGAAAGUGGAUUUGAAAGUAAUUUUAAAUAAAUUUUUAAUUUGAUUUAGCUCUAAAAUAUGUACAUAUCGCCCGUCGCUUUCACUAUAAAGUGAAAUAAGUCGUAACAAAGUAGGUGUACUGGAAAGUGUACCUAGAAAGACAAAUUAGAGCUUGAUAAAAGCAUUUUAUUUACAUUAAAAAGUUUACUGUGAAAUUCAGUAUAAUUUGAAUUUAAAAAAUUAUUUAGAAAUUUAAUUUAAUAUAAAAUUUUUAAAAUAAUAUAAUUUUUAUUAUAUAAAAAGAAAAAAUUUUUUUUGUUAUAGAGUAUUAGUAUUGUGAAAGAAUUUUUUAAAAUUUUAGAAAGAAAAAUUGAGUUUUUGUACCUUGUGUAUCAGGGUUUAUUAAAAAUUAAUUUAGGAUUUAAAUAAUCUCGAAUUUAAAAGAGCUAUUUUAUUAUAUUUUUAAUUGUGGAAUUAAUUUUAUUAAUAGUAAAAUAGUAAUGAAAUGUUAUACGUUUUUAAAUAUAUCUAGUUUUUUAAGAAAUGAAUUUAAUUUAGUAAUUUUAAAUAAAAUUUUAAUUAAAUAAAAUUUUGUUAAAAAUUAAUUAUAAUUUUGGGGAUGAGCUUGAAAUUAAAAAUUUUUUAAAUUUAUAAUAAAUAAAUAUAAGUAAGAUUAUAAAUUUCUAUCUUUAAAAGUAUGUUAUAAUUUAUUAUAGUUCUAUAAAAUUUAUAUAAAUUUAAAAUUUUAUAUUAAAGUAUUCAUUAAAAUUUUAUUAAUAAAGAAAUAAUGAUAAAAUUAGUAAAUUUUUUUGUAUUAGUAAUAAAAAUUGGGAAGGUAAAAUAAAGGAAUUCGGCAAAUAAUUUUUCACCUGUUUAUUAAAAACAUGGCUUUUUGUUAUAUAUUUAAGGUCUAGCCUGCCCAAUGAGGGAUUAAAUGGCUGCGGUAUUUUGACCGUACAAAGGUAGCAUAAUAAUUAGUUUUUUAAUUGAAAGCUGGAAUGAAAGGUUGGAUGAAAAAAUUUCUGUCUCUAUUUUAUUGUUGUUGAAUUUUAUUUUUAAGUAAAAAAGCUUAAAUUUAAUUAAAAGACGAGAAGACCCUAUAGAGUUUUAUAAUUAGAGAAUUUUAAAAAUUUAGAAUUUAA